rnacentral:rRNA from 1 species
UACGUAGGGGGCAAGCGUUGUCCGGAAUCAUUGGGCGUAAAGAGCGUGUAGGCGGCCCGGUAAGUCCGCUGUGAAAGUCCAGGGCUCAACCCUGGGAUGCCGGUGGAUACUGUCGGGCUCGAGUCCGGAAGAGGAGUGUGGAAUUCCUGGUGUAGCGGUGAAAUGCGCAGAUAUCAGGAGGAACACCGGUGGCGAAGGCGAGUCUCUGGGCCGAUACUGACGCUGAGGAGCGAAAGCGUGGGGAGCAAACAGG